rnacentral:rRNA from 1 species
AUUGAACGCUGGCGGCAUGCCUUACACAUGCAAGUCGAACGGUAACAGGUCUUCGGAUGCUGACGAGUGGCGAACGGGUGAGUAAUACAUCGGAACGUGCCUAGUAGUGGGGGAUAACUACUCGAAAGAGCGGCUAAUACCGCAUGAGAUCUACGGAUGAAAGCAGGGGAUCGCAAGACCUUGUGCUACUAGAGCGGCCGAUGGCAGAUUAGGUAGUUGGUGGGAUAAAAGCUUACCAAGCCGACGAUCUGUAGCUGGUCUGAGAGGACGAUCAGCCACACUGGGACUGAGACACGGCCCAGACUCCUACGGGAGGCAGCAGUGGGGAAUUUUGGACAAUGGGCGCAAGCCUGAUCCAGCAAUGCCGCGUGCAGGAUGAAGGCCUUCGGGUUGUAAACUGCUUUUGUACGGAACGAAAAGCCCUGGGUUAAUACCCUGGGGUCAUGACGGUACCGUAAGAAUAAGCACCGGUUAACUACGUGCCAGCCGCCGCCGUAA